rnacentral:misc_RNA from 1 species
UACGAAGGGGGCUAGCGUUGUUCGGAAUUACUGGGCGUAAAGCGCGCGUAGGCGGAUAGUUAAGUCAGGGGUGAAAUCCCGGGGCCCAACCCUGGAACUGCCUUUGAUACUGGCUAUCUGGAGGACGGAAGAGGCAAGUGGAAUUCCGAGUGUAGAGGUGAAAUUCGUAGAUAUUCGGAGGAACACCAGUGGCGAAGGCGACUUGCUGGUCCGUGUCUGACGCUGAGGCGCGAAAGCGUGGGGAGCAAACAGG